rnacentral:rRNA from 1 species
CCUACGUGUGGCAGCAGUGAGGAAUAUUGGUCAAUGGGCGCGAGCCUGAACCAGCCAAGUAGCGUGAAGGAUGACUGCCCUACGGGUUGUAAACUUCUUUUAUAAAGGAAUAAAGUGAGGCACGUGUGCCUUUUUGUAUGUACUUUAUGAAUAAGGAUCGGCUCACUCCGUGCCAGCAGCCGCGGUAAUACGGAGGAUCCGAGCGUUAUCCGGAUUUAUUGGGGUUAACGGGAGCGUAGAUGGGUUGUUAAGUCAGUUGUGAAAGUUUGCGGCUCAACCGUAAAAUUGCAAUUGAUACUGGCAGUCUUGAGUACAGUUGAGGUAGGCGGAAUUCGUGGUGUAGCGGUGAAAUGCUUAGAUAUUACGAAGAACUCCGAUUGCGAAGGCAGCUUACUAAACUGCCACUGACAUUGAUGCUCGAAAGUGUGGGUAUCAAACAGGAUUAGAUACCCCUGUAGUC